rnacentral:rRNA from 1 species
GUGGGGAAUAUUGGACAAUGGGCGCAAGCCUGAUCCAGCCAUGCCGCGUGAGUGAUGAAGGCCUUAGGGUUGUAAAGCUCUUUCAGUGGGGACGAUAAUGACGGUACCCACAGAAGAAGCCCCGGCUAACUUCGUGCCAGCAGCCGCGGUAAUACGAAGGGGGCUAGCGUUGUUCGGAUUUACUGGGCGUAAAGCGCACGUAGGCGGAUCGUUAAGUCGGGGGUGAAAUCCUGGAGCUCAACUCCAGAACUGCCUUCGAUACUGGCGAUCUUGAGUCCGGAAGAGGUGGGUGGAACUCCUAGUGUAGAGGUGGAAUUCGUAGAUAUUAGGAAGAACACCAGUGGCGAAGGCGGCUCACUGGUCCGGUACUGACGCUGAGGUGCGAAAGCGUGGGGAGCAAACAGGAUUAGAUACCCCGGUAGUCC